UGUGUAGGCGGUUCUUUAAGUUUGGUGUGAAAUCUCCCGGCUUAACCGGGAGGGUGCGCCGAAUACUGAGGGACUAGAGUACGGGAGAGGAAAGUGGAAUUCCUGGUGUAGCGGUGAAAUGCGUAGAUAUCAGGAGGAACACCGGUGGUGUAGACGGCUUUCUGGACCGUAACUGACGCUGAGACACGAAAGCGUGGGUAGCAAACA
rnacentral:rRNA from 1 species